rnacentral:lncRNA from 1 species
CCUACACCACAGCUCACGGCAACGCCGGAUCCUUAACCCACUGAGCAAGGCCAGGGAUGGAACCUGCAACCUCAUGGUUCCUAGUCGGAUUCGUUAACCACUGCGCCAUGACAGGAACUCCUACUGUAGUGUUUCUUUCCUAAGAAUUUAAUAUGUUUUUUUCGAUGGUAUUAGUAUAUUAAAAUUAGGAUUCUUUUAGGGUUCGGGUAAAUAUUGUGUAGGUUUUGAGUGUUCUGCCUUAUCAUCUCUCAUUGUGCAAGAUGUUUCCAGACCAUGAGUUUUUCAGGAAUACUUAUGUCCAGUUGUCAUAACCUCUAGCUUAUAGAGUAGGACUGUCCAAUAGAACUCUCUAUGAUGGUGAAAAUGUUUUAUGUCUGGCAUCUAAUACAGUAGCCAUUAGCCACAUAUAGCUAUUUCAUUUUAAGUUUAUUGGAUUAAAUACCAAAUUCAGGAGUUCCCGUUGUGGCGCAGCAGACUAGUAACCGUGAGGUUUCAAGUUUGAUCCCUGGCCUCGCUCAGUGGGUUAAGGAUCCGGCAUUGCCGUGAGCCGGGGUGUUGAUUGCAGACGUGGCUCGGAUCUGGCGUUGCUGUGGCUGUCAUGUAGGCUGGCAGCUGUAGUUCCCAUUCAACCCCUAGCCUGGGAACUUCCAUAUACCUUGGGUGUGGCCCUAAAAAGCAAAAAUAAAAAAGUAAAUAAAAAAAACCAGAUUCACUUUCUCGGUUGCACUAGCCAUAGUGCAAGUGCUCAGAAACCUCUCGUGGCUCAUGGCUCCCAUGCCGGACCGCACAGCUGUAGAGAGAGGCUGGCGCACGUAAGGAUAUGUGAACCCCUUGUAUUGAUUCCAAGCAUCCUGUUCUCAGCACUUUCCUGCCUCGAGGUUAGGAAUUUGCUCUGCAAAGGAAGUUCAAGUAGAGGUUCUAGGAGUGUGAGGAAUAUGGAACACUAGGGCCAACCUCUAAGAGGACAUAGCAGUGCCGUGAGCCUGGUAGGUUGAGAUGGCUCUCUAGGUAAAUAAUUCCCCAGAGCCUUGCCGUUGCCCAGCUGAGGACCACAACUGUAUUGAAUUUGCCUCUAUGGUUAUAUUUCAUUAUAUAACCCUAACCACACUGACCUGAGAGCAGGGAUUGUGUUUUAUAAUUCUGCAUCUUCCUUCGUGACUAACGCUUUAGUAACAUAUGUAUAGGAAAAGCAUCAUAAUUUGGCUUACAGACAGUGUUAUUCAUAUUUCAGCAGAAAUUGAGAAUAAUUCUUCAGUUUAAGUGAACUGG